UGASGGGUGGGAAUCCCGUCCGCCGAUUAUCCAAGGGUUCCAGGGUCAAGUUUGUCUGCCCUGGGUGAGUCGGGUCCUAAGGCGAGGCCGACAGGCGUAGUCGAUGGGUAACCAGUUGAUAUUCUGGUACCGGCUUGUCACCGUCCGUGUCGAGGUGUGUGAUGCUAAGCAUGUGAGCUUGUCUUGGGAGUGUUUUUGAUGCUUCUGGGGUGGGUGAGUGUGUGAACCGAUCAUGUAGUAGGCAAGCUGCGGAGGGACGCAGUGAGGUAGCUCAUCCCCGGUGAUGGUUGUCCGGGGCUAAGUGUGUGGACUGUCUGGUAGGUAAAUCCGCUGGGCGUGAAGGUUGAGGCAUGAUGGGGAGCCCAUGGUUGUGGGUGAGUGAGUGAUCCUGUACUGUCGAGAAAAGCUUCGUGAGCGAGGUGGCGGGUCCGCCCGUACCCUAAACCGACACUGGUGGAUAGGUAGAGUAUACCGAGGCGAUCGAGUGAAUCGUGGUGAAGGAACUCGGCAAAAUGCCCCCGUAACUUUGGGAUAAGGGGGACCUGAGCUGUCGUGCACCCGUGCGGUGUGGUGGCGGUGAGGGGCGCAGAGUCCAGGGGGAAACGACUGUUUACCAAAAACACAGGUCCGUGCGAAGUCGUAAGACGAUGUAUACGGACUGACUCCUGCCCGGUGCUGGAAGGUUAAGGGGAACUGUGAGUGUAUGCGUAGCGGUGAACUUAAGCCCCAGUAAACGGCGGUGGUAACUAUAACCAUCCUAAGGUAGCGAAAUUCCUUGUCGGGUAAGUUCCGACCUGCACGAAUGGAGUAACGAUUUCCCUACUGUCUCCACCAUGAACUCGGUGAAAUUGCAUUACGAGUAAAGAUGCUCGUUACGCGCAGCAGGACGGAAAGACCCCGGGACCUUUACUAUAGUUUGGUAUUGGUGAUUGGGACGGUUUGUGUAGGAUAGGUGGGAGACGUUGAUGCGGCCACGCUAGUGGUGGUGGAGUCGUUGGUGAAAUACCACUCUGAUUGUUCUGGUUAUCUCACUGUGGACCGUGAUCCGGUUCAAGGACAGUGCCUGAUGGGUAGUUUGACUGGGGCGGUCGCCUCCUAAAGGGUAACGGAGGCGCCCAAAGGUUCCCUCAGCCUGGUUGGUAAUCAGGUGGUGAGUGUAAGUGCACAAGGGGGCUUGACUGUGAGACUGACAGGUCGAGCAGGGACGAAAGUCGGGACUAGUGAUCUGACGGUGGCUUGUGGAUGCGCCGUCACUCAACGGAUAAAAGGUACCCCGGGGAUAACAGGCUGAUCUUGCCCGAGCGCUCAUAGCGACGGCAUGGUUUGGCACCUCGAUGUCGGCUCGUCGCAUCCUGGGGCUGGAGUCGGUCCCAAGGGUUGGGCUGUUCGCCCAUUAAAGCGGCACGCGAGCUGGGUUCAGAACGUCGUGAGACAGUUCGGUCCCUAUCCGCUGCGCGCGGAGGAAUCUUGAGAAGGGCUGUCUUUAGUACGAGAGGACCGAGACGGACUGACCUCUGGUGUGCCAGUUGUUCUGCCAAGAGCAUGGCUGGUUGGCUACGUCGGGUUGUGAUAACCGCUGAAAGCAUCUAAGCGGGAAGCACGCUUCAAGAUAAGGGUUCCCACAGGAGUGUUCCUGGUAAGGUCCCCGAGAGAUGAUCGGGUUGAUAGGCCAGACGUGGACGCAUCGUAAGGUGUGGAGCUGACUGGUACUAAUAGACCGAGGACUUUCAUU
rnacentral:rRNA from 2 species